GGAUUGUAGCUCAGUGGUAGAGUGCUUGCCUCACACACAUAAGGCCCUGGGUUCGUUCCUCAGCACCA
rnacentral:tRNA from 1 species